UACGUAGGGUGCAAGCGUUGUCCGGAAUUAUUGGGCGUAAAGAGCUUGUAGGUGGCUCGUUGCGUCGGGAGUGAAAACCUGCGGCUUAACCGCAGGCCUGCUUCCGAUACGGGCGAGCUAGAGUUCGGCAGGGGAGACUGGAAUUCCUGGUGUAGCGGUGAAAUGCGCAGAUAUCAGGAGGAACACCGGUGGCGCAGGCGGGUCUCUGGGCAUUAACUGACGCUGAGGAGCGAAAGCAUGGGGAGCGAACAGG
rnacentral:rRNA from 1 species